AGAUUUGAAAAUGGCCACCUUCGUAGUGCCACAAUCCUGUGGUUGUAGUGAAACUCCAGCUUCAGGAAUUACUCAUGCAAGACCAGAAAGGGCAGCUUUUAGCAUAUGCUUUCUGGCCUCUCUUUUACCAGACAAUUUGUGACUUUAUAACAUUGAGGAUUUGUGAUUACCAAUGGCCAGGUUGCCUUUGGCUUCUUUUCACUUUAGUUGGGAGUGUUGGAUCAUUCAAAAAAUGGAACAUUUUGAUCCCUAAGGCAGACUUUCAGUUUCAGAUGAACAGCAAAAGGGACUCAGCCAUACCUAUGCAUGUAUCCAUCCAUUCUCCUCCAAACUCCCCUCCAAUCCAGGCUGCCAUAUAACACUGAGAGGAGUUCCAUAUGCUAUACAGAGAAUCCCCAGGACAGAGGAGCUUGGCGGACUACAGUCCACGGGGUCACAAAGAGUUGCAUACCAUUGAGCGACUAAGCACAGCACAACACACACCAAGGACUUGGAUCAAGUCUGUAGAGAGACUUUGGCUAUUUGGGUUGUGAGAUUAAAGCAUCACUGGUAAUUGUUUUGUUGUUAUUUAGUCCCUAAAUCGUGCCUGACUCUUUGCAAUCCCAUGGACUAUAUAGCCCACCAGGUUCCUCUCUCCAUGGGAUUUUCCAGACAAGAAUUUACCCAUGUCUUUAUGCCAGUUUGGACAAUAAUGAUGUGUGGGAAGGGUGGCAGAAGUGGUUAGUACAGACUAGGUUAGUUCUGCUUUUCACCAUUUGAUUUCCUGUGCUGCCUCAGGCGUCACUUAACAUCCCUAGCUCUCCAGGGUGUUGUGAGAAAUAAUGAGAUAAUAUUUGCAAAAUGCUUGUAAUCUAUGGGCAAAAAAUCAUGAGGGCAGAAUCCUGGUUUAGUUAUAUGGAUGCAAAUCAUA
ensembl:lncRNA